rnacentral:rRNA from 1 species
UACAGGGGGUGCUAGCGUUGUUCGGAAUUACUGGGCGUAAAGGGCGCGUAGGCGGCUCAUUGCGUCAACCGUGAAAACCAGCAGCUCAACUGUUGGCUUGCGGUUGAUACGGGUGGGCUGGAGUUCGGUAGGGGAGACUGGAAUUCCUGGUGUAGCGGUGAAAUGCGCAGAUAUCAGGAGGAACACCGGUGGCGAAGGCGGGUCUCUGGGCCGAUACUGACGCUGAGGAGCGAAAGCGUGGGGAGCGAACAGG